GGGCUUGUAGCUCAGGUGGUUAGAGCGCACGCCUGAUAAGCGUGAGGUCGGUGGUUCGAGUCCACCCAGGCCCA
rfam:Peptostreptococcaceae bacterium oral taxon 113 str. W5053 genomic scaffold Scaffold31, whole genome shotgun sequence.